UUGCAAGGCAGGUACCCAGAUAUCUGG
rnacentral:piRNA from 1 species